UACGUGUGCGGAAUCUCCUGACGUCGUGCGUAGCCAAUGAACGCAUCCGGUGAUCUCAAGCGCCGAAAUUUGAAAACGAUUAGACAGGCAGAAGGUGACAGUGAAGGGGUUAUGGUCUAUUGUGUAUUUUAAAGGGGACAAGAGAGCCUGUAUUGUUAGCAAUGGCUCUUCAUGAAACAAAAGAAGCUGCUCUGUUGAUUUGGAUCAACAGCCUCAACUUAGAAGAACCUGUUGACAAGAUCUCCAACCUGCAGGAUGGCCGUCUUUUAGUUAAACUGAUAUACAAACUGUAA